rnacentral:rRNA from 1 species
GGGAANCUGCCNNAUGNAGGGGGAUNNCUACUGGAAACGGUAGCUNANUACCGCAUAACGUCGCAAGACCAAAAGNGGGGGACCUUCGNGCCCUCAUGCCAUCAGAUGUGCCCAGAUGGGAUUAGCUAGUANNUGGGGUAACGGCUCACCUAGGCGACGAUCNCUAGCUGGUCUGAGAGGAUGANCAGCCACACUGGAACUGAGACACGGUCCAGACUCCUACGGGAGGCAGCAGUGGGGAAUAUUGCACAAUGGGCGCAAGCCUGAUGCAGCCAUGCCGCGUGUGUGAAGAAGGCCUUCGGGUUGUAAAGCACUUUCAGCGGGGAGGAAGGCGAUAAGGUUAAUAACCUUGUCGAUUGACGUUACCCGCAGAAGAAGCACCGGCUAACUCCGUGCCAGCAGCCGCGGUAAUACGGAGGGUGCAAGCGUUAAUCGGAAUUACUGGGCGUAAAGCGCACGCAGGCGGUCUGUCAAGUCGGAUGUGAAAUCCCCGGGCUCAACCUGGGAACUGCAUUCGAAACUGGCAGGCUAGAGUCUUGUAGAGGGGGGUAGAAUUCCAGGUGUAGCGGUGAAAUGCGUAGAGAUCUGGAGGAAUACCGGUGGCGAAGGCGGCCCCCUGGACAAAGACUGACGCUCAGGUGCGAAAGCGUGGGGAGCAAACNAGGAUUAGAUACCCUGGUAGUCCACGCCGUAAACGAUGUCGAUUUGGAGGUUGUGCCCUUGAGGCGUGGCUUCCGGAGCUAACGCGUUAAAUCGACCGCCUGGGGAGUACGGCCGCAAGGUUAAAACUCAAAUGAAUUGACGGGGGCCCGCACAAGCGGUGGAGCAUGUGGUUUAAUUCGAUGCAACGCGAAGAACCUUACCUGGUCUUGACAUCCACAGAACUUNCCAGAGAUGNNUUGGUGCCUUCGGGAACUGUGANACAGGUGCUGCNUGGCUGUCNUCAGCUCNUGUUGUGANANGUUNGNUUAANUCCCGCANCNAACGCA